rnacentral:rRNA from 1 species
AACGAACGCUGGCGGCAGGCCUAACACAUGCAAGUCGAGCGCGCCUUCGGGUGAGCGGCGGACGGGUGAGUAACGCGUGGGAAUAUGCCCUUCUCUACGGAAUAGUCCUGGGAAACUGGGGGUAAUACCGUAUACGCCCUUUGGGGGAAAGAUUUAUCGGGGAAGGAUUAGCCCGCGUUGGAUUAGGUAGUUGGUGGGGUAAUGGCCUACCAAGCCGACGAUCCAUAGCUGGUUUGAGAGGAUGAUCAGCCACACUGGGACUGAGACACGGCCCAGACUCCUACGGGAGGCAGCAGUGGGGAAUCUUAGACAAUGGGGGCAACCCUGAUCUUGCCAUGCCGCGUGAGUGAUGAAGGCCUUAGGGUUGUAAAGCUCUUUCAGCUGGGAAGAUAAUGACGGUACCAGCAGAAGAAGCCCCGGCUAACUCCGUG